UACGGAGGAUGCAAGCGUUAUCCGGAAUAAUUGGGCGUAAAGCGUCCGUAGGUGGUCAUUCAAGUCUGCCGUUAAAGAGUGGGGCUUAACCCCACAAAGGCGGUGGAAACUGAAAGACUAGAGUGCAGUAGGGGUAGAGGGAAUUCCCGGUGUAGCGGUGAAAUGCGUAGAGAUCGGGAAGAACACCGGUGGCGAAAGCGCUCUGCUGGACUGCAACUGACACUGAGGGACGAAAGCUAGGGGAGCGAAUGGG
rnacentral:rRNA from 1 species